rnacentral:piRNA from 1 species
UGCCAUUACUUCAGUCAGUCUGUCCC